rnacentral:rRNA from 1 species
UACGGAGGAUGCGAGCGUUAUCCGGAUUUAUUGGGUUUAAAGGGUGCGUAGGCGGACGCUUAAGUCAGCGGUAAAAUUGCGGGGCUCAACCUCGUCGAGCCGUUGAAACUGGGUGUCUUGAGUGGGCGAGAAGUAGGCGGAAUGCGUGGUGUAGCGGUGAAAUGCAUAGAUAUCACGCAGAACUCCGAUUGCGAAGGCAGCGUACCGGCGCCCAACUGACGCUGAAGCACGAAGGCGUGGGUAUCGAACAGG